UUUGCUAUAGCGAUUCUAAGUAUCCAGUCCCCAGGAAGAACCAUGUUUAACAAUUGUUUAGCGACAUAGAAGCACGAGGAGUACUCUGAGCCCCCAGGAGUAGGGAGAAACAUUUCAGUGGCACCAAAUUCUCGUUUUUGAUGGGUUCUAUCAUGUGACUCUCUGUUACUGAAGUUGGGGGCUCUGGCUCUGGCCCUUACCUGGGUUGACCACCCUUGCCAGAGGGUGUUCUGCAGGGAACUUAUUUACCCUUACUACUUUACCCAGUAGUUGCACUGUAGGAAACUGAUCUAGUACAGUGAUGAGUAACCAGGGAUCGGAUACAGCCUAUUGAGGUUUGAGAGAUAAUCUAUUUAAUUUCAAGAACUUCCCUGGUGAGAGCCAAACUCAGCGCAGUCCCUUGCCCUGGCUGCUGCCUGGCCAUGUGCUAACUGCAUGUGUGGCGGUGUGAAUAAGGACUUUGGGAGUGUAAUCCCAUGGGAGACAGUGAAGAGCCCAGCCUAGGACGGAGGAGACAGAGGAGGAGGGGCAUUUUAAAAAUAAAAUUCCCCUCACUGUGGUUUCUGUCAAGAAGAGAAAAGGAGCUGAUGAAAAUCGUGUGUUUCAAAAUAACAAUGAGGAUAGAUCCCUGAGCCCUGAGAUGACAGCCUGCAUGGAAAACAGGAUUAUUUCCUCCACAAGGACCUCUCUCUUGUCUGACCGCCUCUCCCUUCAUUUUCAUAGAAAAGAAAUACAGCCUUAUAAAGGACCUGGCUUUAUCAUGAAAGGAAGACAGAUAAAUGGCAAAAUGAGAACCUUUUUUUCCCACCAAAGGGGGACAACUGAUUAUAGAAUCAACAUCAGCUGGGCAACAGCAAUUCUUAUUCUGUGCCAUCUGGAAAAGGUUAGUCAUUUUUACCCACCAGUGGUUUUGAUGAUAAACUUCCAAAGACCGCUGGGUCAUUCACUCAACGAAUGUUUGCCUGUCCUCUUCUGAGUCUCGGCCCAUGGCCCCCGUCCUGGAGGAGCUGGGAGAGGCAGGCCAGCCAACAGCCAGGUCCAGUGUGGGGUUAGGUCUGUGAUCGGGGAAGCACAGAGGGCCAGUGAGGGACCCCGACCUGCCGCGGUGAGCCAGGGAGGGCUUGUCAGGAUUUCAAACCAGCUGGAGGUAUAUUGGAGGGACUCAGAGCAACGUUUUAAAACCCCAGAAAACACAUCCUGAACAUAAAACUGCCUGUAUUUUCUACGUUUCAGUUGUCCUAACUUUAGUGGACAGGCUCAUUUUCUACUAUUUUCCCUUGAGGUUAUCGAGCUAGGAAAAUAGUUUGAUUCACUUUCUUUCCCAAACACUAUAAGAAAGAACCACAGACUUUAUGCAUAUUGAAGCCUUUCUCUGUGGCUUCCUGCGUCAGGUUGAGGGAGCUAGAAAUGUCUCAGCACCGGCCUUACCGCUGGCUGGGAACUGGGACAGGAUCAGAAGCAUUGACUCUUCAGCUAAGGGCCUGAUUCCUUUUGGGGACACAAAUGCCCCAAUUCUGGCAUUGGAAAUGCCUGUGUGGGAAACACCUGGUAAUCAGGAGAAGGACUUGUUUUGCCUUCUGUCUUCUAUUUGAUCGUGGGCAGGGAGGCCUCUUUUCUUUGGAAGAGGUGUUUAUUCCACUUUGUUGUUCCCUCUGGACCAACAGAGGGUGCCAGGCCCACUGUUCUUGGCUUCUUUUAUGUGUUCCUGGAUCCAACGCUGAAGACUGAUCCCUACAGCAGUUUUUAUACAGUCUUUUUUAGAAUGACAUAUAGUAGCAAUUGAAUGCUUUCAUGAGGUUUACACACCUCUUGGUAACUAAAUAAGAGUCCUCAGUAAAUAACACAGUGAUUCUGUCUUCUUCAUAAGUCGUCUUCUGUCUGCUGUGAAGGACGCUGUGCAGAACAUUUAAAAUUAGGGCCAGGGCACAGGAAGGCAGUGAGGAUGAGAUGCCUUCUGGAGAGCACAAGUAUUGAAUAGUUAGAACACAGCAAAUCCUUCAGAGGCUUCCCAGCUUCACCUUUAAGAUACGGAAUGUAUCUUAAAUGAGGGGAAUGAGGGGAAUUCCAUGGUGACUCCUAGGAAACAAUUCUUAUUUAUAACUGGGCUUACUUUAAACAGGAUGAUUUCUUUGUCUGAUUCUAACCUGGUAUCUUUGUGACUAACUCUAUCAAGCUGUUAUUCUUUCCCUAGUGACUC